rnacentral:rRNA from 1 species
UACGUAGGUGGCAAGCGUUGUCCGGAUUUACUGGGCGUAAAGGGCGCGUAGGCGGCUUAACAAGUCACUUGUGAAAUCUCCGGGCUUAACUCGGAACGGCCAAGUGAAACUGUUAUGCUAGAGUGCAGAAGGGGCAAUCGGAAUUCUUGGUGUAGCGGUGAAAUGCGUAGAUAUCAAGAGGAACACCUGAGGUGAAGACGGGUUGCUGGGCUGACACUGACGCUGAUGCGCGAAAGCCAGGGGAGCAAACGGG